UACGGGGGGGGCAAGCGUUGUUCGGAAUUACUGGGCGUAAAGGGCUCGUAGGCGGCCAACUAAGUCAGACGUGAAAUCCCUCGGCUUAACCGGGGAACUGCGUCUGAUACUGGAUGGCUUGAGUUUGGGAGAGGGAUGCGGAAUUCCAGGUGUAGCGGUGAAAUGCGUAGAUAUCUGGAGGAACACCGAUGGCGAAGGCAGCCUUCUGGGCCAACACUGACGCUCAUGCACGAAAGCGUGGGGAGCAAACAGG
rnacentral:rRNA from 1 species